rnacentral:rRNA from 1 species
UACGGGGGGGACAAGCGUUAUUCUUCUUGACUGGGCGUAAAGGGUACGUAGGUGGUUACACAAGUUUUGCACUAAAGACCGUUGGGCUUAACCCCGGAAGGUGCAAUUAAUACUGUGUUACUAGAGUUCAGGGGAAGGUGGCGGUACUCUUGAUUGAGAGGUAAAAUUCUACGAAAUCAACGGGGACCACCACUGGGCGAAAGCGGCCACCUACUCUGUUCUGACACUGAGGUACAAAAGCGUGGGGAGCAAACAGG